CCUAAGAACCAUCCGGCCCCUUGGGGAAGACGCUGCUGGGGAGGGUGGAGGGGCCGGGCACCCAGGCACAGCGACCACAGCGCACCUCUCGCCACCUCCCCAGGGAUCUGCCGAGUGUGCAGGUGGGACCAGGGCGCCUGCCUGGCAUCCGCCAGAGACUUCUGAACUUCAGAAUGAAGGGGCCCUGGAGUCGGGGCCUCACCAGCCAUCCAGCUCCUUCACCACGCAGUCGACUGAGGCCCAGACCACAGUGGCACAGCUUACAAUCAAGAGACAAACAACGCAAUUAAAAAAUGGACAAAGGAGCCCCUCUUGGGUCCUUGCUUCCAAGAUGACCAAGAAAAGGAAUGAUGCUCAUGCCAAAAAAAGGCCGCAGCCCAGCCCAUUCACUGCGCAGCUACAACCAACUCAUGCCCAAGGGCAAGGCCAUGGCGAUGUUGCUUGAAACACAGUAGAGGCUGCAGCCGUUAGGUAUGUUUCCGAAGUGAGUGUCUUUGAGGCUGAUGUGCUUCCCCAACUGGACCAAAACCAAGCCACUGUGUGAGGUGUGCCAUCCACAGCAACGGAGUCAGUAACCGUUGCCAUGAGGCCUGGGGGGACCCAACACCCCCACCCCAGUGCAGACCUGCGGUGCGGUCCCACAACCUCCACCAAAGCCCACAUGAAGAGCUGCGUCCUUAAGGACUGAAGAAAAGUCUUCUGGGAAAAAAUAAAAUGGAAACUAUACUUUAAAAAAAAACACCCCAAAACAAAAAUGGGCAAAGGAUUUGAAUAGACAUUUCUCCAUACAAGACAAAUGGCCAAUAAGCACAUGAAAAUAUGUUCAACAUCAUCCUUAGCCAAAAAGGAAAUGCAGAUCAAAACUGCAGCGAGAUGCCACUUCUCACCCACUGGGGUGGCUAUAAUCAAAGACCAUCGGUAACCAGUGCGGGAGAGGAUGUGGGGAAAUCUGAGCCCUGGCGCACUGCCGGUGUGAGCGCACAGUGGGUGGUGCAGCCACUCUGGAGGAGGGUCUGGCUGUUCCUCAAAGGGUUAAGCACAAAGAUGUCAGACACCCACCUGUUCCACACCUGGCUGCAUACCAAGACAAUGGAAAAUGUAUGUUUACACAAAAAAAUUGCAUGCAAAUGUUCGUAGCAGUGUUUAUUUGCAAUAGCCCUAAAGUGGGAGCAACCCAAAUGUCCAGCAACAGAAAAUGGAUUAAAAAAUAGUGGUCUAGCUCAGACUGGUGUGGCUCAGUGGGUUCGGUGACCUCCUGCAAAGCGAGGGGUCACUGACUGGAUUCCCGGUCAGGGCACACGCCCAGGUUUCUGGCUGGGUCCUUGGUUGGGGGCUCACAAGAGGCAACCGAUUGAUGUUUCUCUGGUGCAUCCCUAUUUCUCUCUCUCUCCCUCUC